rnacentral:rRNA from 1 species
AUUGAACGCUGGCGGCAGGCUUAACACAUGCAAGUCGAGCGGGGGAGGUUGCUUCGGUAACUGACCUAGCGGCGGACGGGUGAGUAAUGCUUAGGAAUCUGCCUAUUAGUGGGGGACAACAUUCCGAAAGGGAUGCUAAUACCGCAUACGCCCUACGGGGGAAAGCAGGGGAUCUUCGGACCUUGCGCUAAUAGAUGAGCCUAAGUCGGAUUAGCUAGUUGGUGGGGUAAAGGCCUACCAAGGCGACGAUCUGUAGCGGGUCUGAGCGGAUGAUCCGCCACACUGGGACUGAGACACGGCCCAGACUUCUACGGGAGGCAGCAGUGGGGAAGAUUGGACAAUGGGCGGAAGCCUGAUCCAGCCAUGCCGCGUGUGUGAAGAAGGCCUUUUGGUUGUAAAGCACUUUAAGCGAGGAGGAGGCUCUUAAGGUUAAUACCCUUGAUGAGUGGACGUUACUCGCAGAAUAAGCACCGGCUAACUCUGUGCCAGCCGCCGCCGUAACAC